rnacentral:rRNA from 1 species
GAUCCUGGCUCAGAUUGAACGCUGGCGGAAUGCUUUACACAUGACAAGUCGAACGGUAGAGGGGGCAACCCCUUGAGAGUGGCGAACGGGUGAGUAAUAUAUCGGAACGUGCCCAGUCGUGGGGGAUAACGUAGCGAAAGUUACGCUAAUACCGCAUACGAUCUAAGGAUGAAAGCGGGGGAUCGCAAGACCUCGCGCGAUUGGAGCGGCCGAUAUCAGAUUAGGUAGUUGGUGAGGUAAAGGCUCACCAAGCCGACGAUCUGUAGCUGGUCUGAGAGGACGACCAGCCACACUGGGACUGAGACACGGCCCAGACUCCUACGGGAGGCAGCAGUGGGGAAUUUUGGACAAUGGGCGCAAGCCUGAUCCAGCAAUGCCGCGUGCAGGAAGAAGGCCUUCGGGUUGUAAACUGCUUUUGUACGGAACGAAAAGGCUCUUUCUAAUAAAGAGGGCCCAUGACGGUACCGUAAGAAUAAGCACCGGCUAACUACGUG